GGUCGGCAGAGAGCGCGGAGAGACGCAGAACGCAGCCAGCUCCUCCAGGGCCCUGCAGGCCCUCCGCCCCCGGGCCCGCGGGUGAACUGGGGGGCCCUGGGACAGGCCUACCCUGUGCCAUGCAGAUACCGGAGGCCUCUGCUGCGGCUGCUCACUGGCUGUGCCCAGGCCUUGAAGCCGCAGCGAACCUCUCUUCCCCACCCCACCUCGGUGACUGAUGGCGGCGGCGGCCUCUCCCAGCCCGGACUCGGCCGGCCGCCGGGUCUUCCGGCCCAAGCCUGCCGGGCCUCAACGAAACCCCGGCAGAGCCGCCGGGACGCAGCGCCUCUGGGCGGCGGCGGGCGUGACGGGCCGGGAAGCAUGGCGGCCGCUCGAACGCCGCGGGCGGAGGCUAUUAGGGCGUGUAGGGCCCAGGAAGGCGGCCUAAGGACGCAGGCAGGCUCGGCUGCCUCUUUAGGCCACAGAGCCGCGCAGAUCCGGUUCCCGGGUGACCACUCUGUCGCCAUUGGGCGAAACCUACCUAGUCCUGACGACAACGGACAAAGGCCUUAACGGGCCUGGGAGGUGAGCGAAGUCCCGAACGACGGCAGGUGGAACGAUUAGCGGCCAUCGGGCAGUUGGUCUUCGUUCUGCCAGACUUUGCUGUCUGGCAGAGAAGAGAGAAAUGGUAGAAGACAGGCCACGUUUGGCCCUUUGUAAAUGCCCACCACCCUCUGGGAAGAUUUACUGGUCGAUUAUGGAAGGCUUGCGUAUAUAAUGUGAAAAAGCUGCUCUCAACUCCACCCCAACCUCUUAAUAGAAAACAUUUGUCACAUCUAGCCCUUUUAGAUGGAAAGAGGUUGCCGAUGUAUGAUAGAGUUAGAAAGUCACACAUCUUGUAAAUUCUCAUUUGUUUAAAAGAAAUCAUAGAAAAUACAUGUCUUCUGGAGAUGAAGAUCUUCUGGAGACGUGACUUUUGGAAAUGAAGUUGUUAGACGGCCUCUGGAAGCGAUACGUCCACGUUUGUUAAGUGGGUUAGAUGACACGGAGCUGGAAGACGUGAGAAGGAAGAGAAGAAGGUUCUAUGCUAGACUGGUCAUAUUUAGAAGACAUUUUCAUAUUCUAUCCAUUGUUUUGUGUGCAUUUUAUUCCUCACUAUUGUGUAUAUAGUUGACAAUGCUAAGAUUUUUUGAAAUGUCUAUUCUUUUUAGAUGUUCUGAAGUGCCUGAUAUAUGUUAAAAUUAGAGGUAGCAAAAUAACAUUUUGUAAAUAUCUUUUUGUU